UACGAACUGUGCAAACGUUAUUCGGAAUCACUGGGCUUAAAGGGUGCGUAGGCGGCGAUAAAGGUCAGGUGUGAAAUCCCACGGCUCAACCGUGGAACUGCGCUUGAAACCAUAUUGCUUGAGGAAGUCAGAGGUAAGCGGAACUGUUGGUGGAGCGGUGAAAUGCGUAGAUAUCAACAGGAACACCGGUGGCGAAAGCGGCUUACUGGGACUUUUCUGACGCUGAGGCACGAAAGCCAGGGGAGCAAACGGG
rnacentral:rRNA from 1 species